AAGUCGUAACAAGGUUUCCGUAGGUGAACCUGCGGAAGGAUCAUUAACACGUAUCCAACGUUAAACAACCCUGUGAACUUUAAGCCUACUCUUGCAGCCCAUGAGGAACAGCAAUCCCGGUAAAUCAUUGCCAAACAGUUUUGAUUCGGGACCUCUGUCCAAAAGGAGUUGCAAUUGAGUGGUAGAUGCAGUGGCAUGGCUUCCCCAAGCAGUUAGUGAAUGACAGUGUCACUGACGUCGAUCACCGACCGGCAGACAUGUCACAGGGCCACCGCGCCCCUUAAUCACUCCACUAGAAAAUGCCCCGCCUAGUGGUAACGCGCUAGGUAAAAAAAACCGAACAACUGUUAACAAUGGAUAUCUUGGUUCUC
rnacentral:misc_RNA from 1 species